AAGUCGUAACAAGGUUUCCGUAGGUGAACCUGCGGAAGGAUCAUUAACACGUAUCCACGUAUCAACCAAUGUGAACUCGUUUUCAGUCUCCCUUGGAGGCGCCAUGAGUUGGAAGAGGAGGAGCGAUCAGAGUGGGAACCGGCAACGGAUCCGUCGCUCCCCUCCCAUUAUACAACUGUAGGCGGCUCCGAGAUUCUUUCUGGCUGUGUUUGCCACUCUCUGGCGUGCGCGGUUGGAUUCAUCAUUAACAAAUUUCACCCCACUUUUGCUAGUUGACUUUAUCUAUGUGACUCAGCCUCGGCUGUCUCCACGUUUAUUUACUUAAACAAUAAAACAACUCUUAGCAAUGGAUAUCUUGGUUCUC
rnacentral:misc_RNA from 1 species